GAAACACGGACCAAGGAGUUCAACUGGAUUGCGAGUCGUAGAGUUUUUAACACAAAGCUCAUUUAAUAUAUUAUUAUAUAUUUACGGCGAAGCGAAAGCAAAAUUGUGCGAUGUAUUUUGUAACAGGAAUACUGCAGCACAGGCUGAUUAUGGAUAUGCGCAGAGUCUUAGAUUGUGCGUAUACUCAAAUUUUUUUUUGCGCACUCGCUGCGUAAAAUAAUAUUUGAGAUUAAUCAAGCUAAAGAGCACUUUAAUUGAGACCCGAAAGAUGGUGAACUAUGCUCGGACAUGGUGAAGCCAGGUGAAAACUUGGUGGAAGCUUGCGUUGUGCGGAACUGACGUGCAAAUCGUUGCCGCCUGACCUGAGUAUAGGGGCGAAAGACUCAUCGAACCAUCUAGUAGCCGGUUCCCUCCGAAGUUUCCCUUAGGAUAGCUCGAAUUUAUUACAUUUUUUUUUAUAUGAGUAACACAAGGGUAAAGCAAUGAGACGCGGUAUCUGCGGGUCUUAUUUAAAUGACCUCGGCCUUCUCUCAAACUUUAAAUCUGUGCGAUUACGUGCGCUUACUUUGAAUGUAUAAAAAUUUAUUUUUAUGCAGUGAAGCCACGCAAUUUUUUUAUUAAUAUUGUAUCCAAAAUUCGUAGUGGGCCAUUUCUGGUAAGCAGAACUGGCGAUGAGGGAUUCAACCUGACGUUCUCAAGAUAAGCCGGGCUUAAUCAUAUCUGCUCCAACCUUCCGAUAAACGCGA
rnacentral:rRNA from 1 species